rnacentral:rRNA from 1 species
UACGUAGGGACCGAGCGUUGUCCGGAAUCAUUGGGCGUAAAGAGCGUGUAGGCGGCCUUUUAAGUCCUGCGUGAAAUCCUGCGGCUCAACCGCAGACGGUCGUGGGAAACUGGAAGGCUAGAGUGCGGGAGAGGAAAGCGGAAUUCCUGGUGUAGCGGUGAAAUGCGUAGAUAUCAGGAGGAACACCUGCGGUGUAGACGGCUUUCUGGACCAUUGCUGACGCUGAGACACGAAAGCGUGGGUAGCAAACAGG